rnacentral:rRNA from 1 species
AGAAGCGAACUCAGAGCACACGGUGGAUGCCUAGGCUCUCAGAGGCGACGAAGGGCGUGGUAAGCUGCGAAAAGCUGCGGGGAAGUGCAAACAACUAUUGAUCCGCAGAUGCCCGAAUGGGACAACCUGCUAUGGUGAAGCCAUAGCGUGAGAACGCGAACCCGGGGAACUGAAACAUCUAAGUACCCGGAGGAAAAGAAAUCAAAUGAGAUUCCCCAAGUAGUGGCGAGCGAACGGGGAUCAGCCCUAAAGCGUCUAUAAAUUUAGCAGAAAGCCCUGGAAAGGGCUGCCGUAGAAGGUGACAGCCCUGUAUGCGAAAGGUUUAUAGAUGUUAAAACGAGUAGGGCGGGACACGUGAAAUCCUGUCUGAACAUGGGGGGACCAUCCUCCAAGGCUAAAUACUCCUGAGAGACCGAUAGUGAACCAGUACCGUGAGGGAAAGGUGAAAAGAACCGCAAGAAGCGGAGUGAAAAGAUCCUGAAACCGUGUGCUUACAAGCGGUCGGAGCCCUACGGGGUGACGGCGUGCCUUUUGCAUAAUGAGCCUACGAGUUACUCCUAUCUGGCAAGUUUAAGCACUUCAGGUGCGUAGGCAUAGCGAAAGCGAGUCUGAACAGGGCGCGAGCCAGGUGGGGUAGACGCGAAACCGUGUGAUCUACCCAUGGGCAGGUUGAAGUUGGGAUAGUCUCCCAAUGGAGGACCGAACCGGUAAACGUUGAAAAGUUUUCGGAUGACCUGUGGGUAGGGGUGAAAGGCCAAUCAAACUCGGAGAUAGCUCGUACUCCCCGAAAUGCAUUUAGGUGCAGCGUCAGGAAGAGUGUCAUGGAGGUAGAGCUACCAAUAAGGCUAGGGGGCUUCACCGCCUACCAACCCUUGAUGAACUCCGAAUGCCAUGACACUGCACUGGCAGUGAGGCAGUGGGUGCGAAGGUCCAUUGCCGAGAGGGAAAGAACCCAGACCAUCAGCUAAGGCCCCAAAGUUCACGCUAAGUUGAAUGAACGAGGUGGGGAUGCUAUGACAGCUAGGAUGUUGGCUUGGAAGCAGCCAUUCAUUUAAAGAGUGCGUAACAGCUCACUAGUCGAGCGUUCCCGCGCGGAAAAUGAUCGGGCAUCAAGCGUGGCGCCGAAGCUAUGGACUCCGCAGUGCGGAGUGGUAGGGGAGCAUUCUGGCUGCGCUGAAGGUGUGCUGUGAGGCAUGCUGGAGCGGCUAGAAAAGAAAAUGUAGGCAUGAGUAACGAUAAAACAGGUGAGAAACCUGUUCGCCGCAAGACUAAGGGUUCCUUGAUCGAUGUUAAUCAGAUCAGGGUUAGUCGGGGCCUAAGGCGUAGCCGAAAGGCGAAGCUAAUGGAAAACAGGUUAAUAUUCCUGUACCUGUAUACACUAAAAAGGGGACGGAGCUGUGGAUUGCCCGCGCACUGACGGAAUAGUGCGUUAAACCUUCGGGGAUAGUACAGCGAGCCUGCAAAGGCGAGCUGAUAGCAGCAAGAAGCAGCUUCCAAGAAAAGCCGAAGUAUACAGCCCGUACCGUAAACCGACACAGGUAGUCGAGGAGAGUAUCCUAAGGCGCUCGAGUGAACCGUGGCUAAGGAACUAGGCAAAAUAGCCCCGUAACUUCGGGAGAAGGGGCGCUCACGUAAGUGAGCCGCAGUGAAGAGGCCCAGGCGACUGUUUAGCAAAAACACAGGACUCUGCAAAGCUGAAAGGCGAAGUAUAGGGUCUGACACCUGCCCGGUGCCGGAAGGUUAAGGGAGGCGCUCAUCUUCGGAGAAGGCGUUGACUGAAGCCCCGGUAAACGGCGGCCGUAACUAUAACGGUCCUAAGGUAGCGAAAUUCCUUGUCGGGUAAGUUCCGACCUGCACGAAUGGUGUAACGAUCUGGGCACUGUCUCGGCCACGAGCUCGGUGAAAUUGAAGUAUCGGUGAAGAUGCCGGUUACCCGCAACGGGACGGAAAGACCCCGUGAACCUUUACUACAGCUUCGUAUUGUGCUUGAGUAUAAGAUGUGUAGGAUAGGUGGGAGGCUUUGAAGCGGCCGCGCCAGUGGUUGUGGAGCCGUCCUUGAAAUACCACCCUUCUUAUACUUAGGUUCUAACCCUUCGGGGGACAGUGCGUGGUGGGUAGUUUGACUGGGGUGGUCGCCUCCUAAAGAGUAACGGAGGCUUACAAAGGUACCCUCAGCAUGGUUGGUAAUCAUGCGCAGAGCAUAUGAGUAUAAGGGUGCUUGACUGAGAGAGGGACGCCUCGAACAGGUGCGAAAGCAGGUUCAAGUGAUCCGGUGGUUCCGUAUGGAAGGGCCAUCGCUCAAAGGAUAAAAGGUACUCCGGGGAUAACAGGCUGAUCUCCCCCAAGAGCUCAUAUCGACGGGGAGGUUUGGCACCUCGAUGUCGGCUCGUCACAUCCUGGGGCUGGAGAAGGUCCCAAGGGUUGGGCUGUUCGCCCAUUAAAGUGGCACGCGAGCUGGGUUCAGAACGUCGCAAGACAGUUCGGUCCCUAUCUGUUGCGGGCGUUGGAAUAUUGAGAAGGGCUGACACUAGUACGAGAGGACCGUGUUGGACAUACCGCUAGUGUACCAGUUGUGCCGCCAGGUGCAGUGCUGGGUAGCUAUGUAUGGAACGGAUAAGCACUGAAAGCAUCUAAGUGCGAAGCCGGCUUCAAGAUGAGUAUUCCUUGAGGGCCGUGGAAGAUGACCACGUUGAUAGGCUACAGGUGGAAGCGCAGUGAUGUGUGGAGCUGAGUAGUACUAAUUACCCGAAAGCUUCCCGU